GUCCACGCCCUAAACUAUGAUCACUCGAUGUUGGCGAUACACAGUCAGCGUCUAAGGGAAACCAUUAAGUGAUCCACCUGGGGAGUACGACCGCAAGGUUGAAACUCAAAGGAAUUGACGGGGGCCCCGCACAAGCGGAGGAGCAUGUGGUUUAAUUCGAUGAUACGCGAGGAACCUUACCUGGGCUUGAAAGUUAGUGAAUCUCGCAGAAACGCGAGAGACCGAAAGGACACGAAACUAGGUGCUGCAUGGCUGUCGU
rnacentral:rRNA from 1 species